GACGUAGGGCGCGAGCGUUGUCCGGAUUUAUUGGGCGUAAAGAGCUCGUAGGCGGUUUGUCGCGUCUGCCGUGAAAAUCCAGGGCUUAACUCUGGACUGGCUUCCGAUACGGGCAGACUAGAGGUAUGCAGGGGAGAACGGAAUUCCUGGUGUAGCGGUGAAAUGCGCAGAUAUCAGGAGGAACACCGGUGGCGAAGGCGGUUCUCUGGGCAUUACCUGACGCUGAGGAGCGAAAGUGUGGGGAGCGAACAGG
rnacentral:rRNA from 1 species